GGAGUUGUAGCUCAGUGGUGAAGCACUUGCCUAGCAUGCGUGAGGCACUGGGUUCAAUUCUCAGCACCA
rnacentral:tRNA from 1 species